UACGUAGGGACCAAGCGUUGUUCGGAUUUACUGGGAGUAAAGGGCGCGUAGGCGGCAUAUUAAGUCAGCUGUGAAAUCUCCGAGCUUAACUCGGAACUGUCAGCUGAUACUGAUGUGCUAGAGUGCAGAAGGGGCAAUCGGAAUUCUUGGUGUAGCGGUGAAAUGCGUAGAUAUCAAGAGGAACACCUGAGGUGAAGACGGGUUGCUGGGCUGACACUGACGCUGAGGCGCGAAAGCCAGGGGAGCAAACGGG
rnacentral:rRNA from 1 species